CCUGGAAUGAAUAUUAAAAAUAGAAUAUUAAAUUAUAAAAAUAGUAAAUUGAAUAAUAGAAAAAAAAAGUUCAAGUAUUAAUUAUUAUUCAAUGUUUAUAGAUACAACACAAAAAUGACCAAAAAGUUUGUGGAAAAAUGACAUUACAAGUGACAAAAGUCUUGGCAGUCUUAAUUAAGCGAGGUAUUCUUGGAUAUUGGAAAGUUAAACAAGUCUUGGCUGGCAUUAGUGAAUUUACAAUUAAAAAUUGUCUUAGAAUGUUGAUGUACUAAAUAUAACGAAUGAAAUGAAGUGGUGGUGUGCUGAACGACAGAGAUGAAAGUGUAAUGGAGCAAAUGGAUGGAUAAGCUAGCUACAUAUUUUAUCACGAUCAUCAGAAAAGUCAAGUUAUGAAAAUGACAGUGAUGAUGCUCAUCGUGAUAAAAGGUAUGUUAAAUUCAGUUUUUCUUCGCAAAUCAGCGAAUAAUUACAAAGAUUUGAAAUACAAUUCGGUAUAACUAAUAUUAAAUACUGAUAAAAAUCAAACCACAAAAAAAAAAAAAAAAAGAUUACGAUGAUUUUGUUAAUGCAUUGCAUUCAACAAACAUCUAACCAAAGACUCGUUUCGAAUUAAAGCUUGUUAUUGCGCGUUUCAACUGAUUCGUUGGAGUUGAAAAAAAAAAAUUUGCGAAAUAAAAAAAUUCGAGAUUAUUUAAGAAUAAUUGAACGAAGAAACAAAUAAAAAAAAGACAUUGAAUAAGACACUUGACAAUAUCACUUAAACCACACUGAAGAUUAAAACAAAAAGCACAAGACAGUCGUAGGAAAACCGAAACACCAACACAUAAAUUAGAUGGACGAUUUUUUUCUUGAUCAAGGAAGGAAAAGAUGACUGAUGUAACAUAAAAUCAACGUGAUAAAUAUCCCAGAAUAUUGGAUCAUUCAUGAUGUGGACAUGUCAUCACCAGAAAAAAAA
rnacentral:lncRNA from 1 species